CUACGUAUAGGAGGUCACACCUGCCCGGUGAAACGGCCGCGGUAUUUUGACCGUGCGAAGGUAGCGCAAUCACUUGUCUUUUAAAUGAAGACCCGUAUGAAUGGUAUAACGAGGGCUUAACUGUCUCCCCCCUCAAGUCAAUGAAAUUGAUCUGCCCGUGCAGAAGCGGGCAUUCACCUACAAGACGAGAAGACCCUUUGGAGCUUUAGAACUAUGUCAAGUAAACUAAAUAGAAUCUUUUGUUGGGGCGACCGCGGGAAAAAAGAAAGCUCCCAUGAGGACUGCAGAGACAAGAAAGACAUUUCUAUGCCACAGAAUAUCUGACCUAACAGACCCGGACCGACCAACGGACCAAGUUACCCUAGGGAUAACAGCGCAAUCCCCUUCCAGAGUCCCUAUCGACAAGGGGGUUUACGACCUCGAUGUUGGACCAGGACAUCCUAAUGGUGCAGCCGCUGUUAAGGGUUCGUUUGUUCAACGAUUAAAGUCCUACGUGAUCUGAGU
rnacentral:rRNA from 1 species